rnacentral:rRNA from 1 species
AAUGAACGCUGGCGGCGUGCCUAAUACAUGCAAGUCGAGCGAACGGACGAGAAGCUUGCUUCUCUGAUGUUAGCGGCGGACGGGUGAGUAACACGUGGAUAACCUACCUAUAAGACUGGGAUAACUUCGGGAAACCGGAGCUAAUACCGGAUAAUAUUUUGAACCGCAUGGUUCAAAAGUGAAAGACGGUCUUGCUGUCACUUAUAGAUGGACCCGCGCUGCAUUAGCUAGUUGGUAAGGUAACGGCUUACCAAGGCAACGAUGCAUAGCCGACCUGAGAGGGUGAUCGGCCACACUGGAACUGAGACACGGUCCAGACUCCUACGGGAGGCAGCAGUAGGGAAUCUUCCGCAAUGGGCGAAAGCCUGACGGAGCAACGCCGCGUGAGUGAUGAAGGUCUUCGGAUCGUAAAACUCUGUUAUUAGGGAAGAACAUAUGUGUAAGUAACUGUGCACAUCUUGACGGUACCUAAUCAGAAAGCCACGGCUAACUACGUGCCAGCAGCCGCGGUAAUACGUAGGUGGCAAGCGUUAUCCGGAAUUAUUGGGCGUAAAGCGCGCGUAGGCGGUUUUUUAAGUCUGAUGUGAAAGCCCACGGCUCAACCGUGGAGGGUCAUUGGAAACUGGAAAACUUGAGUGCAGAAGAGGAAAGUGGAAUUCCAUGUGUAGCGGUGAAAUGCGCAGAGAUAUGGAGGAACACCAGUGGCGAAGGCGACUUUCUGGUCUGUAACUGACGCUGAUGUGCGAAAGCGUGGGGAUCAAACAGGAUUAGAUACCCUGGUAGUCCACGCCGUAAACGAUGAGUGCUAAGUGUUAGGGGGUUUCCGCCCCUCAGUGCUGCAGCUAACGCAUUAAGCACUCCGCCUGGGGAGUACGACCGCAAGGUUGAAACUCAAAGGAAUUGACGGGGACCCGCACAAGCGGUGGAGCAUGUGGUUUAAUUCGAAGCAACGCGAAGAACCUUACCAAAUCUUGACAUCCUUUGACAACUCUAGAGAUAGAGCCUUCCCCUUCGGGGGACAAAGUGACAGGUGGUGCAUGGUUGUCGUCAGCUCGUGUCGUGAGAUGUUGGGUUAAGUCCCGCAACGAGCGCAACCCUUAAGCUUAGUUGCCAUCAUUAAGUUGGGCACUCUAAGUUGACUGCCGGUGACAAACCGGAGGAAGGUGGGGAUGACGUCAAAUCAUCAUGCCCCUUAUGAUUUGGGCUACACACGUGCUACAAUGGACAAUACAAAGGGCAGCGAAACCGCGAGGUCAAGCAAAUCCCAUAAAGUUGUUCUCAGUUCGGAUUGUAGUCUGCAACUCGACUACAUGAAGCUGGAAUCGCUAGUAAUCGUAGAUCAGCAUGCUACGGUGAAUACGUUCCCGGGUCU